rfam:Mycoplasma suis str. Illinois, complete genome.
GGGGGUGUAGUUCAAUUGGCAGAACAUCAGUCUUCAAAACUGAGUGUUGCGGGUUCGAGUCCUGCCACCCCCG